UGAAAUUGAAAACUUAUUCCUAUAGAGUAAACGUCCUUUGUAUUCAACAGCCAAAUCAAAAGUGAGAAGCUGGCAGCCUGCAAUUGUAACCUGAGAACCUAAUCCCUGAUAUCAGACAGACCAAAUUAGGCAUGACCUUUGACCUUACAAUGGAAUCAACUGCCCCAUUUCAUGGAAGAAACCAUUCCAUCUGAAUAAACAACACUUAUACUCUCUGCAUAAGUUUUAAUU
rnacentral:lncRNA from 1 species